GUUAUGCGCCAGACACUCCCCCGAAGCCAGCGAGGAUGGCUGCGCGCGCGUUUGAGCGCUCGCGCGCGGCGACCCGUCUGUCUCCUUCUUUUUUUCUUUUUUAAAUGUAACCUGGUUUAUUGGGCUUUCGGCGUAUUCUUGCGUUCCUUCUGCACUGAGACAAGACACCACUGCACUAUUGGACUAUACGGCAAGCUGGUGCCGUCCGGUGGAGCUUCAUACAGGAACUACUGCCUUACUUGCUGGUGUCACAACGUUGGAUGAACGCACAAAAAGCGCGGAACGAGCUUUUAUAUAGAGCAAAAUAAAUAUUUCCUAAUUGCACAAAA